GGGGUUGUGGCUGAGUGGUACAGGGCUCACCUAGUAUAUGUGAGGCACUGGGUUCGAUCCUCAGCACCACA
rnacentral:tRNA from 1 species